rnacentral:lncRNA from 12 species
GGGGGGGGGGGGGGGGGGGGGGGGGGGGGGGGGGGGGGGGGGGGGGGGGGGGGGGGGGGGGGGGGCGCGGGCCCGGCCGGGGCGGCCCUGAGGGCCCCGCCCGUUCGAGGGCCGCUGUGCGGCAGCCCGGCCGUGGGGAGCGCAGCCCGGCCGUGGGGAGCGCCGCCCGGCCUGAGCGCUCGAGCGCUGCCGGGGCUGUUUGGGUUUGGUGCGGCAGGGUCCUGUGCUGGAACCGCGGCUGGAACCGCGCCUGGAAUCCCGGGUGGGUGCUGGCAAUGGCCACUUCUCACAUGCCCUCUGCGCCCUCAGACCGCGCUCCCCCAACCAGACCGACCGUCUCCGCAAAGAAUCAUGAGCUGAAGCAACUUCAGGUUAAAAUAGCUGCAAGGGAGCCUUGCUAUGGGAUUGAACAGAUAAGAGGUGACCUUAGGACUGUGGAGGUGUGGCAUCGACUCCGAGCCGAGCUUUGUUUCUGGCUGAGUUUUAGUUUGUGGAGAGGAGCCCCAGUCCAGCCUGCAGAGAGAUGCAUGAAGCUGAAUACACAUGUGGAGUGUUAACCUGGACCGAAGUAAAGCUCUUGAAACCUGCUAUCUGCUCAAGAAUUUUUUGUUUUGUACCAGUCUGUUUGUUAUCUUGCUUAUGCUUCUUUCCAGGGCAAGAAAAUAAUGGAGAAAAUCUGCAACUCUGGUUUGAGAGUUCUGUAGUCAUCCAAGCAUAUGGAGACACUUUGUGAGUGUGUUCAUUUCUAAGUAGGUUUUGGAGAUGUUGUUUCAAUGCAAAAAAAUAAUUACCAAUGAUUCUUUCAUGGAUCAGCAUUUGCCAUUACAGAGAGAAUUGAUCAGAACUCAAAUAUCUGCUCUGAAGAGACAACAAAACUCAGUCUAGCAUAACUGUAUGUGCCUUCCCUUACCUCCUUAGUUUUUACCUAUUUCUUCUGCUGCUGCCAUCACAGUGUUUAUUUUUCAUGUCUCAGCUACGUGUGUUGCAUGUGCCUCAUGUUUGCAUAUAAGCAUCUAUAAUUCAGGAUCUUACAGUUAAUCUGCAAACCUGAUUAGCUCUCAGUAAGCACUGCUGCAGCUGACUUGUUUUUCAUGUGGACUCUGUAAACAGAGAAUACAUGGAAGUCUUAUACUACCAAUGCUUUGUAUGUUUUUCUGUAUGUGUGAUCUCCAGUCAAAA